rnacentral:rRNA from 1 species
UACGUAGGGGGCUAGCGUUGUCCGGAUUUAUUGGGCGUAAAGAGCGUGUAGGCGGCCAUGUAGGUCCGGUGUGAAAACUCGGGGCUUAACCUCGAGAUGUCAUCGGAAACCAUUUGGCUAGAGUCCGGAAGAGGAGAGUGGAAUUCCUGGUGUAGCGGUGAAAUGCGCAGAUAUCAGGAAGAACACCAAUGGCGAAAGCAGCUCUCUGGGACGGUACUGACGCUGAGACGCGAAAGCGUGGGGAGCGAACAGG